GCCCAAUAAUAGUGAGAGCAGACUCGGCCCAUGUGAUUUGAAAGACGAGCACCCCGCUUUCCCUCCUUCAAACGUUAGGGUUCCGCUGAUCUCCGAAAUCGGAAUUACUCUAUACCACAUACAUUGUUCUAAUUUAUUCAAGCUCUUAGCUGCAAUCGAGUUACUCCUACGGGUAAAUGCAACUCCUCUCUUCGCUGGUUACUUCUCCGAACACCUUUACAUCUGCAGAUUUUAGUUAUGCUUAAAAAAUCAAAUUCCUUACGUUUCUUAAGGAAAUGUGUUUUCAACUCUUGAGAUAAGUAGUUCUUUUUAUUUUGGGAAGUUUUAGGAAUGGUAGGUUCAUUUUGAUUUGGGCAAUGUAGUAAUAUUUUGAUCUGGUUACUGCCCUAAACCUGUUGACUUGAAUCUAGGUUAUUAAACUCCAAAAUUUAAAUAUGCAGGCUUUAGUAAUCACAUUCUUUGCAUCUCUGUUAUUUUUAUUUAUGGAAACUGUUAAUUCUGGUGGGGAGUAGUUUUCUCUGGAACUGUGAUAAAUUGUCCAUUCAUUAUGUUUUGGGAUUUUGUAAGUUUUCUAUUCAACAAGUUUACCUUGUAGUCCACCAUGGAUUCAGGCCAAUUUGAAAGUUGCCAGGUUUAUAUGUCGGACACUGCUGAAUGAAUCUUACAGACUAUUGGUCUGGUUUCAAGGUUGCUUUAUGUCUGCCUAUUCCAUUACCGUGACAAUUAUCUUCUAUUUAAUGUCCUAAAGAAAGUUAUGUUAUACUGUAAUGCGUACUUAAAUGCAUUUAAUCUUGCAUAUCUGUGCCCUUUGUUUCAGGCUGUGCCAUUCAUCUCGCAAAAGCAUGGAACAAACAGAACAAGAGAGUAAUGCACAAAAGACAUGGGAAGUUUGCUCGAAUGGGGCUGAAAAGUCAAGUGUCUCCUCUAUUGUCUUUUCUCUCGAAAAGGGAAUUUUUCAAAAACAUCAACCUGAAGCAAAUUUUUCAUCUCCAACACCAGUGAAAACAAAGGAGCCAUCACGGAUUAAGUGCGAAGAAGGAGCACCUGAACUUCCAGAAAAGUGGGACACUCAGGAUAUGCAUUGCCUGAAAUUGAAACUGAUGUUCACUAUGAAAAACCUAAAACUGAUAUGAUAUAUUUUUCUCUCUAUUUCCAGAUAUACAGCGUUAUCUGAGUUUUUUGAUCGUCUGAUUUGUUCACUGAGGUUGCUCAGCCUACGGAAAAAAUCACCAACUUUACAUAAUAUCAGCAAUCAGGUUGAAAUUUUGGCAGGAAGGUAGUAACUGCUGCUAUAUACGCACACAAAUAUAUAGUUUUUCUAUACAAUUUUUCCUAAAGAUAUUGUGUGUAUCAUCAUAAACAUUGCUAGUAUCUUAUCAAUGUCCACAAUAUGUUGACAUUCAUGCUAAUGGUUGAUUUAAACUUUACUUUUGGAUUAUCUCCAGAUUCUCCACCAACUUUUUCCUAAAAUGCUGGCUGUGAAUACUUAUGUGGUGGGCCUCUGACCUUGCAUCGUGACCCAGAAAUAUGCAAAGCCACUUUAGAUUACAAUUUGGAGCUAUUCUAAUAGAGAAAGAAUGUGACCGUUAUCACAUUACUUGUUAAACCAAUUGAUAUAUUAAUAAAAUAAAAAAUUUAUACUCCCAUUUUCUAACAUCAUAUUCAAGGAACUAAAAAACACUGGAUUCAAUAUUUAUUUUUAUUUUUUAACUUUUGGUUGUAAUCAUUUUAAUCGAAGUUAGAUGAGUAAAGCAUGCAUAUAAGUAUUAAUUGCUAGUUGACAUUUGAACUGCAAUUGUCAGUAUUUGAAUUUUUUAUUGUAUUCUAUUAACGUCCCUAAUCUAUAGUUACACAAAAAAGCUUCUAAGGAUUGAACUCAAAUUCCAGAUCAGUUGAGAGUGCUUAGGUGUUAAUAUUGUUGAAUUUCUGACAGUGAUAGAAACUGGAAUUGCUGUUAUAGAGGACAUUGCAGAAAACUGUUGGAAUUUCUUAUAUUUCUUUAUUUAUGGUACUUGAAAACCUUCUUUUGACUACUGUUCCUUUUCUGUUUUCCCACCCUUCUGUCAGGAAGUUUCUAUCAAGGCAUCUUGCACAAAUAAAAUAUGUACUUCCUGAAGCAGUUCAGAUUGAUAAGAUACUUGUGCAUGAUGAGAAAACCAAGUGCAUGAAGCCAGAAUUAAAGAUUGCAUUGCUAUUUGAUGUUAUUGAAGGCCUUCAUGGAGAAUCUGUGUUCAUGGACCUCAGCAAUCUUUUCUCUUCCCGUCUAAAAAGGUUUUACAUUACACAUCCAGAGGUAAUGGUCCUUUACAUGUUUAUGUUGUAAUUAUAAAGAACAAAGUAAUUCAGGACUGUUCAACAAGAAAAUAAAAAUGAUUUCUCAGUACACUUAUUUCUGCUAUUGGGGAAAUCUCACCUGGAAUCAUAACCAAACUUAUACUUUUCAAACGUGGAGCUAGAACUAAGUUUGUUAAUUUGAGUUGGUUCAUUUUUAUCAUCACCAUAAAAUUGUUUUAUAUUGCUGAGUUUCAAUAGAUUACAAUUAAAACCAAACUCCAUCCGUUAGUAAUUUCUUGCACAGUUGCGCUAAUGUUGCACUAUUGAGAAUGAGAUUCAAAUAAUCUCAUUCUGAGGAUUUCAACAUUGGGUCCUCUCGGAGCUUGUCAUCCCCUGCAGAGUACUGGUCCAGCAUGCAGUUCUAUUCAGAGAUCAUGACGAGGGAGAAGUUUUUGGAUUUUUUUGAAUAUAUUUACCUACUGAAUACUUUUGUCUCCUGGAUGCAGGAUUUGGACAUUCCCGAAGCUGACCUUCCAGCACCAUUUAACCAGAGAAGUAUCAACAUGAAGGUGGAGCCGACGUCCAAGGACGUGUCAGCUUUACUGCAGAUGGAUGUAUUAAAUUCAUCCCAUCUCUCUCCAUCUUUCUGUAGACGCUUUUCUCAGAAGGCUUUUGCUGCAGAGAAAGAAAAGACUCACCUACUUUCACCCAUUAAAUCUUCUUGUGUGGCUAAUCAAGAAACUGGAGGAACAAGAACGUUUCCCAACACUUCUUCCGAAUCCACAGCCACUAUCCUAGUGACUCAGACUUCACAUUGUGUUAGCUCUGCCACAUCUGGUAAUACUCCUACAAAGCUGGCUUCUGCAGAAAGUGACAAUCUAGUUGUUGAAACACCUGCACAAUCUACUCCAAUGAGAUUAAUUUCACCAAAUAGAUCAGUGCUUACCUGUGAAGAUGAGUGCAAGAAUGGAACAAGCCAAAACUCCACACCUGGCAAUCUGACUGCAAAGAGGUCAUUAGAUUUUUAUACUUUGGAUGGUGAUAAUACUUCUCAGGACUUCACUACUGAUGAGAAUAAGAUGGAGUAUUCUAAAGGUGUUUGCAGUACUCUUCCUCGAAUGAAAAUGAAAGGGAUUUCUGUAAAGGUUGAUACUGUUCUUUCCAAGGUAAAAAUUAGCAGUUACUUGUGUUUAGUUUUUAACAUUGCAGUAGCCGGUUAAAUAAUUUGCAAUUUAGAGUCUCCGUGGACCUUUAUUAGGGCUUAUUUGUUUCUUGCUGUCUGAAGAUGAUAUGCUCAUUUGUUCUGUCUUGGACAUGUUCUUAUAAUUUAAGAUGCUAACGAUCUUGCAAAAUUUAUAGAAUAGAUUUAACCUCCGUUUGGAUACAAUUUAUUAUUGGUUUAUAAAUUCAGCCAAAGUCAAACAUACACUUCAACCACACAUUAUUAUCCUCACAUUUUGUGGGACCUCCUCUUUGUAAAUCGAUUUAUAAAUUUUCUAAAUGGAGGCUUAAAUCAGAUAAUCAUGAUUACUAAUAUUGCUAUAUGUAUCAGCAUUCACAGUGGUUUAUUGCUAAAUAAGAUUCACACUUGAAUAUGAAAGUGAAUUUCUUAAAGUGAAUUUCUUAAUAUUCAUUGGGUACUUCUGCUAGAAAAUUGUUACUUAGGUUAGGAACACCAAGGACUGUGAAGAAAGCCGUCAAACAAUUCUAAAGAGAGCAUAAAGAUUCCCCAUAAGACCAAGGGAUGCACACUUUUUUCCCCUUCGUGUUGGAUCACAUAUUUACAUUUCGGGCUGGCAUGCCCAUAACUGUUAUUAUCAGCAGGCACAGUGGUUUAUUGCUAAAUAACCUCCAUGCUUGAAUAUGAAAGUGAAUUUCUUAUUUUUUCAUUGGGUACUUUUGCUAGAAAAACUACUCAGGUUAGGAAUACCAAGGAUUGUAAAAGGCACCAUCAAACAAUUCUAAAGUGAGCAUAAAGGUUCCCCAAAAGGCCACAGGAUGCAAUUCAUUUUUUUUUCCUUUCACUGUUUGUUCAAAUAUUUACUUUUCAGGUUGGCACGCAAGUUUAUUAUCAAUUUUAGGAUGAGUAAAGUUGUUUAAAACUUCAUUGUGUUACACCAAUUAUUAAAUCAUUUUAUUGUUCACAACUGACCAUAAAAUUCAAUGGGAUAGGUCGAGGAGAGCAGUUGCUACAUUGAUGACCAUGAGCUGAAUCAGAAGAAACUUAGUUCACACCAGCAGAGAUCUAUUUGUUUGUCUGAUCUUGUUCUCUUAAUUCACUAUGUCUUUCAAUCUGUUAGCUUUCGUUCAAUCACAAAGGAAGAACUAGUUCACAAGAUUAUUCUGAACAACUGUGAUAUUGAUGACAGCAGUAAGCUCAAAUGCUGUACUUUAUUUUCUUCCCCUUUUCCUAUUUCUAUGUAAAAGUUUCAAAAGCAUUCCUGUGUAUAUCUAGGUGAGGUCCUGAUGCAAAUAGAGCAACUGGAGAAACUGGUUCCAGACUGGUUUUAUAAGCAGCUUGCUCCUUGUGGAGACCAACUAUACAAGUUAGUAUUUCUUCCUUUUUUGCAGUCAUAUGUUGGCUAUAAGGGUGGUGCCAGUGGGCUCCCAUCAAGCUUGUCGUGUUGCUGUAAUCUUUAAUUGCAUCUAUGAGAUAAUAACUGGGAUGGGAAAGGGCUUGACCAGUGUGAAAAUUCUGCUGUUUACUUAGCUAUAUAUGUCGUAAACAUUCACAUCAGUAACUGUGCUGUUGUACAUUUAACCUUGAGAAAGGUGCCAUCCCCAAGACAGAUUGUAAGGUGCAAUACUACUAGAAUUUAAUCACUUCUGUUCUUAAAUCAGAGGAAUUGGUUUCUCUUAUCACAGUUCAGCAUGUCUUUAAAUUUUUACUAAAAUAAAAGAUGUUCUACGGUGGUAUAAAUCUCUACAUUUUCUGGUGAAUUUCAGUGUGAAAAAAGUGUCAGACUUGAACUCAGUUCGUGAAAGAGUUAACAUUGUAUGAUCCAAUUGAACUGAGGUGAGUAUUUUAGCUUGCUACAUGUUUCUCUGCUUGUUUGAUAUAGACGUGCAAUCCUAAUGUUAGUAGGAAACAUUCUAAGACACAGGAAAAUACUGAGAAUGGCGUUGCACAAAAUUGGUGUAAUGAUAUAUUAUAUUCAAUUUGUAGGGGCAUAUUUGCUUUAGAUUGGACUAUUUCAAAAUUAGAACAGCUUCUGAAAGUCGAAGAGUUGAAAUGGUGUUCCUGAUUUACGAGUAAUUUGGCAGUUUCCCCUUCAGAUUGUAGACGAUGCCUGCAAUGGACUCUACCUCUACUGGAUAGUUGGUGGAUGUUCAAGGUUUUUUACCUCUACUAGUAGGUUUAUAUGUAUUUUAUGCAUGUAUGUUAAAGGAGCAAAUGCGUAUAACAAUAUUGUGGGUGCAUAAUUUCUCUCCUUUUUCCUUUAAUCUUAUCAUAAUUCUACAUUAUCCCUUUUACAAUGCUGACUCUACAUUCUAAUUUGAUUUAUUUUUGAAUUAAG
rnacentral:lncRNA from 1 species